UUGACGGAGAGUUUGAUCCUGGCUCAGGAUGAACGCUGGCGGCGUGCUUAACACAUGCAAGUCGAACGAUGAAG
rfam:Arthrobacter cupressi strain SW1 SW1_scaffold_13, whole genome shotgun sequence.